CAUCAGCUGAUCGGGCACCUUGUCAUGAGUGUCUUAUCACGUAAACACACGUUUCAAAGAUGGAUAUUGCUAUUAUUUUGAGAAAGAUUAUCACUACACAUUAGAAUGAAAUUUCUAAUACCCAGAGAAAACAUAGUUUCCACAAUGCCAAACAAGAGGUCUCCAAAAUCACUUUGGUGACUUGUAAGCAAUGGUAUUAUACCAC